GGGCGUGUAGCUCAGCGGGAGAGCACUACGUUGACAUCGUAGGGGUCACAGGUUCAAUCCCUGUCACGCUCA
rnacentral:tRNA from 1 species